GGCUCAGGAUGAACGCUAGCUACAGGCUUAACACAUGCAAGUCAGGGGCAGCAUGACGAUUGCUUGCAAUGUUGAUGGCGACCGGCGCACGGGUGAGUAACGCGUAUCCAACCUUCCCCAUAGUAGAGGAUAGCCCGGCGAAAGUCGGAUUAAUACUCUAUGUUGUAUAACGAGGACAUCUGAAUUAUACCAAAGAUUCAUCGCUAUGGGAUGGGGAUGCGUCUGAUUAGGUAGUCGGCGGGGUAACGGCCCACCGAGCCGACGAUCAGUAGGGGUUCUGAGAGGAAGGUCCCCCACAUUGGUACUGAGACACGGACCAAACUCCUACGGGAGACAGCAGUGAGGAAUAUUGGUCAAUGGACGAGAGUCUGAACCAGCCAAGUAGCGUGCAGGAAUGACUGCCCUAUGGGUUGUAAACUGCUUUUAUCAGGGAAUAAAGUGAGGCACGUGUGCCUUUUUGUAUGUACCUGAUGAAUAAGGACCGGCUAAUUCCGUGCCAGCAGCCGC
rnacentral:rRNA from 1 species